UUGCUGGGCUAAGGAGCCUGUUUUGUUAUGGUCUUCAUUUUAUUAUUAAACC
rfam:Fukomys damarensis contig116233, whole genome shotgun sequence.